GCGCAGGGGGCUCGGGGCCUCGGGCCUGGGGGCUGGGCGAUGGGACCCUCCUCCUCUCCCUCCGCGAGGGGCACCCGGGCGAACUCACCCCGGGCCCGGCAUCGCCGACGCGGUAGCGGUUAGGGACUUCGAUCAGCUGGAGAACGCCUCUGCGGUGGCGUCGAUCACGGUGCUUGGUACCUACAGACGUUCCACAUCCGCCUGGAAACGGCUCCUUCUCUGAGCAAAGCGCACGCACCACACCGCAGCCGUGAGGCCGGGAGCCGGGACAAUGUUCCUAAGCCCCGCACAGCCCGGGCCUGGGCUCAAUGUACUCACUUUCCAGGCGAGAAAAAGGGCGUGACAGUCCAUGUGCUGUGCAGCGCCUGGGGGGACAGAGCACUGUGGGGGGACAGACCCGACGACCACCCACCUCUUCCCAAACUGCCCUCGUUGCCAUGUACCUUUAAAUACCCAGGAUGUCACACCCCUUGGACAUUUCAAAAUAAAGGGCUGGAGACCUUCCAGAA